rnacentral:rRNA from 1 species
AGUGGCGAACGGGUGAGUAACACGUGAGCAACCUGCCCCUGACUCUGGGAUAAGCGCUGGAAACGGCGUCUAAUACUGGAUAUGUGACGUGACCGCAUGGUCUGCGUCUGGAAAGAAUUUCGGUUAGGGAUGGGCUCGCGGCCUAUCAGCUUGUUGGUGAGGUAAUGGCUCACCAAGGCGUCGACGGGUAGCCGGCCUGAGAGGGUGACCGGCCACACUGGGACUGAGACACGGCCCAGACUCCUACGGGAGGCAGCAGUGGGGAAUAUUGCACAAUGGGCGCAAGCCUGAUGCAGCAACGCCGCGUGAGGGAUGACGGCCUUCGGGUUGUAAACCUCUUUUAGCAGGGAAGAAGCGAAAGUGACGGUACCUGCAGAAAAAGCGCCGGCUAACUACGUGCCAGCAGCCGCGGUAAUACGUAGGGCGCAAGCGUUAUCCGGAAUUAUUGGGCGUAAAGAGCUCGUAGGCGGUUUGUCGCGUCUGCUGUGAAAUCCGGAGGCUCAACCUCCGGCCUGCAGUGGGUACGGGCAGACUAGAGUGCGGUAGGGGAGAUUGGAAUUCCUGGUGUAGCGGUGGAAUGCGCAGAUAUCAGGAGGAACACCGAUGGCGAAGGCAGAUCUCUGGGCCGUAACUGACGCUGAGGAGCGAAAGGGUGGGGAGCAAACAGGCUUAGAUACCCUGGUAGUCCACCCCGUAAACGUUGGGAACUAGUUGUGGGGUCCAUUCCACGGAUUCCGUGACGCAGCUAACGCAUUAAG